UACGAAGGGGGCUAGCGUUGUUCGGAAUUACUGGGCGUAAAGCGCACGCAGGCGGCUCGAUAAAUUAGAAGUGAAAGCCCCGGGCUUAACCUGGGAAUUGCUUUUAAGACUGUCGGGCUAGAAUCCAGAAGAGGGUAGUGGAAUUCCGAGUGUAGAGGUGAAAUUCGUAGAUAUUCGGAAGAACACCAGUGGCGAAGGCGACUACCUGGUCUGGCAUUGACGCUCAUGUGCGAAAGCGUGGAGAGCAAACAGG
rnacentral:rRNA from 1 species